UCCCUGGUGGUUCAGCUGGUAAAGAAUCUGCCUGCAAUGCGGGAGACCUGGGUUCGAUCCCUGGCCUGGGAA
rnacentral:tRNA from 1 species